CGUGGGCAUAUGAUGAAUCUCAUAACAAAUGGGUAAUUUUGCGUCUGAUGUUUCAGUGAUGCUAAAUCACCUUGGAGAACUAAUGCCUUUU